rnacentral:rRNA from 1 species
GAUGAACGCUGGCGGCGUGCUUUACACAUGGCAAGUCGAACGGAGUUCUUCCUCCCUGAAACCGAUGUCGCUUGCUACGGAAGUUUCUUUUGGAAUUACUUAGUGGCGGACGGGUGAGUAACGCGUGAGUGAACCUGCCCUUGAGUGGGGAAUAACACCGAGAAAUCGGUGCUAAUACCGCAUAAUGUCGAGAGACCGCAUGAUCUUUCGACCAAAGGAUUUAUUCGCUUAAGGAUGGACUCGCGUCCGAUUAGCUAGUUGGUGAGGUAACGGCCCACCAUGGCAACGAUCGGUAGCCGAACUGAGAGGUUGAUCGGCCACAUUGGGACUGAGACACGGCCCAGACUCCUACGGGAGGCAGCAGUGGGGAAUAUUGGGCAAUGGGCGAAAGCCUGACCCCAAAAACCCGGUUGAAAGAUUGAGGUCNUCGGAAUUUAAACUUCUUUGAUCAGGGACGAUUUUGACGGUACUUGAAGACCAGUUCACGGCUAACUACGUGCCAGCAGCCGCGGUAAUACGUAGUGACAGCGUUAUCNGAUUACUGGGUGUAAAGGGCGUGUAGNCGNUUGCAAAGUCAGAAGUGAAAUUCCCGGGCUUAACUUGGGCGCUGCUUCUGAAACUGCUUAACUGNAGUGCUGGAGAGGAUAGUGGAAUUCCUAGUGUAGCGGUAAAAUGCGCAGAUAUUAGGAGGAACACCGGUGGCGAAGGCGGCUAUCUGGACAGUAACUGACGCUGAGGCGCGAAAGCACGGGGAGCAAACA